rnacentral:rRNA from 1 species
UCCUACGGGAGGCAGCAGUGGGGAAUCUUCCGCAAUGGGCGCAAGCCUGACGGAGCAACGCCGCGUGAGUGAAGAAGGGUUUCGACUCGUAAAGCUCUGUUGUCGGGGACGAAUGUGGAGAUGGUGAAUAACCAUUUUCAAUGACGGUACCUGAGAGGAAGCCACGGCUAAACUACGUGC